CCUACGGGGGGCAGCAGUGAGGAAUAUUGGUCAAUGGACGAGAGUCUGAACCAGCCAAGUAGCGUGAAGGAUGACUGCCCUAUGGGUUGUAAACUUCUUUUAUAUGGGAAUAAAAUGUUCCACGUGUGGGAUUUUGUAUGUACCAUAUGAAUAAGGAUCGGCUAACUCCGUGCCAGCAGCCGCGGUACUACGGAGGAUCCGAGCGUUAUCCGGAUUUAUUGGGUUUAAAGGGAGCGUAGGUGGAUUGUUAAGUCAGUUGUGAAAGUUUGCGGCUCAACAGUAAAAUUGCAGUUGAAACUGGCAGUCUGGAGUACAGUAGAGGUGGGCGGAAUUCGUGGUGUAGCGGUGAAAUGCUUAGAUAUCACGAAGAACUCCGAUUGCGAAGGCAGCUCACUGGACUGCAACUGACACUGAGGAUCGAAAGUGUGGGUAUCAAACAGGAUUAGAUACCCUUGUAGUC
rnacentral:rRNA from 1 species